UGGGGAAUAUUGCACAAUGGGGGGAACCCUGAUGCAGCGACGCCGCGUGAGUGAAGAAGUAUUUCGGUAUGUAAAGCUCUAUCAGCAGGGAAGAUAAUGACGGUACCUGACUAAGAAGCCCCGGCUAACUACGUGCCAGCAGCCGCGGUAAUACGUAGGGGGCAAGCGUUAUCCGGAUUUACUGGGUGUAAAGGGUGCGUAGGUGGCAGGGCAAGUCAGAUGUGAAAGCCCGGGGCCCAACCCCGGUACUGCAUUUGAAACUGUCCAGCUGGAGUGCAGGAGAGGUAAGCGGAAUUCCUAGUGUAGCGGUGAAAUGCGUAGAUAUUAGGAGGAACACCAGUGGCGAAGGCGGCUUACUGGACUGUAACUGACACUGAGGCACGAAAGCGUGGGGAGCAAACAGGAUUAGAUACC
rnacentral:rRNA from 1 species